GAAUCUCCCAAAAGAUUAUCCCUUUUUUGUUCGAUUCAAUCCCAUGAGAACCUGAAAAUAUCAAUCAGAAACUCUCUCUCUCUCUCUCUCUCUCUCUUUCACACGCGCGCGUGCGCAGUGUACCAGAUUCGCUUCUUACUCGGCUUCAUUCCACCGCUCUGCAGUUUCAGAUGAAUUGCCUUCCGAAUCUUCCAAGAUCCUCUGCAUUGCCUCUGCAGAGCUUCAAAAACUAUGCCAGAAGUCUUCGAUGUCCCGUCAUUAUACUAGGUGUGGAGAGAGGUAUUGAUUUAUCACAGACACAAGUUAAUGUUUUAAAGGCAGUAUCUGGUUCUGCAUCCAGCACUGAAAAUGAAAAUGAGAAAAUGGAGAAAUCUGAAACUUACAGUCAUGACAUGACUGCGGCUAUGGGAGCCGUCUUAACCUAUAGGCAUGAACUUGGAAUGAACUACAACUUCAUUCGUCCAGACCUGAUUGUAGGAUCAUGCCCUCAGAGUCCGGAAGAUGUUGACAAGCUUCGCAGCAUUGGAGUGAAAACUAUCUUUUGCUUACAACAAGAUUCGGAUCUUGAAUAUUUUAGCGUUGAUAUCCGUGCUAUCCGUGAAUACGCCAACAGCUUCAGUGACAUCCAACAUUUACGUGCUGCAAUAAGAGAUUUUGAUGCAUUUGAUCUGCGGAUGCGCUUUCCAGCAGUCGUAAGCAAAUUACACAAAGCUAUUAAUCGAAAUGGGGGUGUAACUUAUGUACAUUGCACAGCUGGCCUUGGAAGAGCUCCAGCAGUUGCGUUGGCUUACAUGUUCUGGGUUCAAGGCUAUAAGCUCAGUGAAGCACACAAUCUACUAAUGAGCAAGCGCUCGAGCUUUCCAAAGCUGGAUGCAAUCAAAAGUGCGACUGUUGAUAUUCUUACAGGCCUAAAAAAGAAGCCGGUAACAUUGACAUGGAAUGGCAUCGACUGUUCGACAGUGGAAAUCUCAGGACUUGAUGUUGGAUGGGGUCAGAGAAUACCUUUGAAGUAUGAUGAGGAACAAGGUAUAUGGAUUCUCCAUAGAGAAUUGCCUGAAGGGCAAUAUGAGUACAAGUACAUUAUUGAUGGUGAAUGGAUGUGCAAUAAGUACGAGCUCGUCACUAGCCCCAACAAAGAUGGACAUGUCAACAAUUAUGUUAAGGUGUCGUUUCACCUAAUAUUUUUCAGUUCUUAUUUCUAAGGAAUGCAUUUAAUGCUGCGAGCAGGGCCUCAUCUUGCAUAAGUAAUUGCUACUUGACCCUUCUUCGAAGGCUUUAUUGUAGAGCCUUAAGGAAUGAAGUUCCUUUUCAGCCAUAACCAAAACUAAUCAGUGUUUGGCAGUGACCACAGUAGCAUUGAUGCUGCAAUUUGGAAUAGGCUAACUGGUAACAACCCUGUUCUUACAACCAAUGAACGUUGCAUAAUUAGACAAUUUCUUGAAGCUUGUCCCGAUGAGGACUAAUUAUAUCGGCAUAAUGAGUUACUAGUUAACAUACAUGUAAAGUAGUAUACAAAUUGUUACUUCCCAAUAAUCACCUGUAUCUAUGCACAGAAUGCAAUAAUACAUGUUAUGCUUAUAAAUGAAAGCAUAAUACUAUUAAUGGACGGCAAAAUGAUGUUAUAAAUCCCUCAGUUGUGGACCUUUUCUUUUUGCCAUUGAUGGUACCA